GACGAACGCUGGCGGCGCGCCUAAUACAUGCAAGUCGAGCGGACGGAUGGGAGCUUGCUCCCAGACCGUCAGCGGCGGACGGGUGAGUAACACGUGGGCAACCUGCCUGUAAGACUGGGAUAACUCCGGGAAACCGGGGCUAAUACCGGAUAACUCUUUCCCUCACAUGAGGGAAAGCUGAAAGAUGGCAUCUCGCUAUCACUUACAGAUGGGCCCGCGGCGCAUUAGCUAGUUGGUGAGGUAACGGCUCACCAAGGCGACGAUGCGUAGCCGACCUGAGAGGGUGAUCGGCCACACUGGGACUGAGACACGGCCCAGACUCCUACGGGAGGCAGCAGUAGGGAAUCUUCCGCAAUGGACGAAAGUCUGACGGAGCAACGCCGCGUGAGUGAUGAAGGUUUUCGGAUCGUAAAACUCUGUUGUCAGGGAAGAACAAGUACCGGAGUAACUGCCGGUACCUUGACGGUACCUGACCAGAAAGCCACGGCUAACUACGUG
rnacentral:rRNA from 1 species